rnacentral:tRNA from 1 species
GGCAAGGUGGCUCAGUGGGUAAGAGCACUGACUGCUCUUCUGAAGGUUCUGAGUUCAAAUCCCAGCGACCUCA